UCUCUCUCUCUCUCCUCAUUUUCAUAUUGCUAGAUCUGGAUUUCCAUGUUUUUGAGCUUGAUUUUUUUUUUUUGUAAGACUUAUUAUUUGUUUUUCUUGAUGAUGCAAUUAUUACAAAGUGAUUUUCACAUGAUGAAUCAUUAAUUGGCUAUAAUUGGAUUUUUUUAAAAUCUUAUAUUUUGUCUAAUAAUUUCUUUUCAUUAACUUCUUGCUAAAUAUAGACUAAUUCCUGUAAUCUGUAGUUCUAUUAUUAUACUACCUUGAUUUUUAUAUAUUCCAAAGUUGCAAAUAAUAAAUAAUAAAAAUCGGAGGUAGGAUUUAUUGUUUAUUCAUACAAAUUGCAUUUUUAAAAAUUAAUGUACUGUAACAUUAUUCAUCUUAAAGAAUGUACUGGUAGUUUGGACAGAUUAUGGACAAAUGCUUCCAAGUGUUUAACAAUUAAUAUUGAAUGGGAAAUUAGUAGAAUUAUACUGAUGGUGUUUUGGUUUGAAUCGAGAUGAUGUGAAUGGAAGGCACAUUUCUGUUUUUGGCGCUCACUUUCUCGAGUUAUGUUUGCAAGAUAAGCAAGUGCUUUACUAGAAAUGCGAAAUGUAUAUAGCUGAUUAGCUGCUGUAUUCGGGGAAGGGCACGAUGAAAUAAACUGUUGUAUUCAGGGAAAAUCUUGAUGAAUUGACGAAUGUUGCAUUCAGGAAACUACAUUGAGCGUGUUCAGUUCUGUUACAACGAGUGCUUUAGGGAUUAUAUGUAUAUGAUAGAGGAGUUCUUUUGGUUGUUAAGGAAAAUUGUCAGCUUAAUGUUGUUGGGAUACAAAGAUGUAAGGUGGGGGAGUGUUAAAGAGAAAACGAACGGUUUUGGUGUGUUUUGAGAGGGGCUUAAUGCCUAGAGCUUAAUAAAGUCCCUUUCCUGUUUAAAAGUGAUAAGGACAAUUCUUUGCUUGAGUAAAAUAGCUAUCCAAACAUGGUGCUAUACUUGUAAUAAAGUGAGUUGAUGGUUAAUAGUGCUUCCUAGCCUCAUAGGAUGUCCAGAGCUCAUUGUAGGAUGAAGUUUGAAGCUUAAUAAGCUAUGGAUUUAUGGAUGUAUAUGCACUUCUACUCUAAUAAAGAUAUAAUUGUGACUAUUUAAUUAAAACUUGGUAUAUUUAUGCUGUAGCCACAUCUGUCGUCUCCAUCUUCCUCCAGAUUAGAAAUCUUGAUGGGGUGGUAGAUGGUUGCUCGAUUGAGAAUCUUGAGUUAAUAUGUUGUAUGGAGCUCUUUAUGCCUCCAAGCAUCUCACUGAAAAGAGUGAUUUCAUUAUAUUUUUACUACGGCCUAUUACUUCGUUUUGAAUGUAAAAGGUUAAAUAAUUAUGCCAAGGAAUACUGUGAAACAUAGAAGGAUAUAUGUGCUGAACAUUUUCUUAGCUCUUUAUUGUAAAUAUAACUAAAGUGUGUAAUGUUGAAUGAAUUAGCCGUGUCCUGCACUCCUGCUGGAGGAACAUCUGCACCUUUUUCUCAGCUUGAUCCAUGUGAUUUCCUUUCUACUCUGUGUUUGUUAAGCAGCAAUUACACUUGGGAGAAGUGGGAAGCAAUAAUAAAGCUGCUAAUGCAGCUAACUCAUUGGUUUAUGCAUAUAGAACUCAAGAAUCUGAGACCCCAGCUUUACUCUGCCGCUGAAUACUGCAAGACGUCUUAUCUUCUAAGGUAUUGGACAACCUAAAAGAUUAUGCUGCAUGAGCUCUAGUAAAUGCUGAAGAUCACCUAGGCACAGUUGCGUACAAAUUGACUGACCUUCUUGAGCAACAAACUUCAGAUGUGUCAAACUCAGAGCUGAAAGUAACAUGUCUAAAUCAGAAACUUCUCACUUGCCACACGUAUAUGGAGAUGGAAGGCCUUAGGCAGCAGCAACUUUUGGCAAUGAUUCCAAGACAUCACAAAACGCUAUAUAUUGCCAAAUAAGGAACAUUGUCCAACAAUUUUUUGGCCCUUCAAAAUUGUCUCCUCUGUUGUGUUGUAACUGACACAGCCUAUAUUUUGUACUGUGAAUACCAUUUUGCAAUCCCUGUAUCCCUUAGAACAUCUAGCACCACCAAUAGUUUAAAUCCCUAUAAGGAGAAAUGAGGCAAACAUUCAACGAAGAGACUAAAAAAUAAUCUGUAUUUUACCAAAAUAAAAUUUCCAUGUAGACUUUGAUCACUUUGAUGUUUGAUGGUCUAUAGGAAGUUGAUGUCUUCUAGUUAUUUAGCUGUGAUUAAGGCUAUUGUGUAGUAUUGUACUCCGUAUUAUAUAGAUUGAGUCAUCGAUAUAUAUUGUUAUAUGGUAUGGAUAAACAAGUUGAAAAUAGAUGGAUU